rnacentral:rRNA from 1 species
AUUGAACGCUAGCGGGAUGCCUUACACAUGCAAGUCGAACGGAGUGGCGAACGGGUGCGUAAGGUAUAGGAACGGGCCCAGUCGCGGGGGAUAACUACGCGAAAGCGUAACUAAUACCGCAUACUCUUGGAGCGGCCGAUAUCGGAUUAGGUUGUUGGUGGGGUAACGGCUCACCAAGGCGACGGUCCGUAGCUGGUUUGGGAGGACGACCAGCCACACUGGGACUGAGACACGGCCCAGACUCCUACGGGAGGCAGCAGUGGGGAAUUUUGGACAAUGGGGGAAACCCUGAUCCAGCCAUGCCGCGUGUGCGAUGAAGGCCUUCGGGUUGUAAAGCACUUUUGGCAGGAAAGCGGUACCUGCAGAAUAAGCACCGGCUAACUACGUGCCAGCAGCCGCGGUAAUUC